CGCUAUCGCUUACUUCCGGUAUACUUCCGGGAAAUUUGCAUAAAACUAGCAAGUGAGCUUUGUUCUCUGUACUAAUCUCAAGAUUGAAUGCUAGGUUGUAGCAAAUAAAAAUGCGAUUUUCAAGUUUUGUGAGCAUCUUAAGUCCAGUCCUUAAUAAUGAGUUUUUAGGCGUGUCUAAUAGAUGGCGUGUUAAUUUAUUGUUUCAGUUUUGGGCUUAUGGCGGUUUGCUGUCAAAAGUUAAUCUUUUCUUCGAAAAUUACCAAUGUAUUUACAGGAGAAAACGUGUUGAAAGGGUCGUGCAGCUUACUGCUGUCAACCAUUUAUGUGUUCAAAAUCAUUGUAUUCUACUGAAGGUGCCAUCAAAAUGAAACAGGAUUCAUCAUAAUUGCCUGCUGUUUGUAUCGGACCAAUCCCAGCCAUGCCCGAUUUUGAGUGUUCUUCCUUACAAGUUUCUAACACAUUGGCAUGACAGAUUUGAUGAGAAGUCAUAUUUUGAAGGAAAAAGACAAGGACUACACGCAGUAAACAAGGUUCCUUAAUUGCUAACCCGUUGGCUGCUACCCUUCAAUCUCCCUGUUUACUUCCAUACACAGGUCCUAUUGAUUUGAGGGUAACUCUUUCGCUACUGAUGACAUCAACUGUUGUAAACUGACGAGAGAAUGCUGCAAUUCAAGACUAGCAACAUUGUGUAGUUGUUAGAUAAAUGGCAAGUGCAUAUCUGGGCUCCCUUCUUUUCUGUGGCCCCGUUUCCCUAACUAACCACUAACCAACGCCCGCCGGUGGUCACUCACCCGCUGUGAAACCAGGAGGAGGGGAGGGCUCUGGUCGAACGGGGACUUGGAAGGCGCACGAUCCGAUGAAAACUUUUGGAGGGUCAUGAGUCUAACCCGGAAGCCUAGUAUGACUACAUCUCCCCGGAAAAACUUGCCUCGUACUUCUCUCUUCUUCUCGGUCCAGAUACAUAUCUCUGGGGGCCGUAGACAUUUCCUAUAACAGCAUGCGCGAGUUAAAACAAAGCAACCCACUACCCAAUGAAACAAAUAGCCAUGGUUUAUUUUUUGUGAAAAUCUCCGUCAGUCAAGUUACAAAGACGAUGUAGAUUUCCGCUAAACUUAACCAUCGCUUUUUGUCUCAUUGCCGCAGCGGUGGUGGCGGGUUGCGUUUAAACUCGUGCAGUAGUAAACCGUCUUGAACCGGACGCUCUGUUUAUUGAAAUUUUUGUACAGAAAAAAAAAUGAUAAUAAA